AGCUGUUGGGAUUCAAACCCAGUGCUGUCCCUUCCUUGCUAGGUGAUCAGGUCCCAAAGUAUCAUGUGGGCCCCAGAAACCCAUCUGCAGGGAGGACCCACACAUUCAGAACUAGAUUCACAUCUCAAGUGCACUUUGGGUUCGCAGUUGGCAGGAGGCGCAGGAUUGAAAGAGCCAGAGUGUUGAGCGCACCAGAUUGGCGCUGCGUUGGCGCGCCCUGAGGGAGCGCGGCUCUAGUCACUGGAACUCCCGCCAGCCGGACGUCCCCGCACGCCCACGCGCCCCCCACGCACCUGCCCGCUCCCGCAGCCCGCCGGCCCCUGAGCGUCUGGACUCCUCCCUCUUCCCUCCCGCGAGCCAAUAAGACGAGCCCCCGGCGGCGCGGUCCCCAGUACAGCGGCGCGGCGCGGUGGUCCCAGCCGGAGGCCAGUGCCUGCGCCCUGCACCCGCCAGGCUCCGGCGCGGGAUGGAGCCCGGGCUGCGGUGGCGGCGCAGUUGCCGCCCGCCUGUCUCCGCUUUCCUGCGUGACCCGGGCUCGGGGCGCGUCUACAAGCGCGGGAAGCUGAUCGGCAAGGGCGCCUUCAGCCGCUGCUACAAGCUGACAGACAUGUCCACCAGUGCCGUGUUCGCACUCAAGGUGGUGCCACACGGCGGGGCAGGAGCUGGGCGUCUGCACCCCCGUGGGAAGGUAGAGCGGGAGGUCGCCCUACACAGCCGCCUGCGACACCGCAACAUCGUGGCCUUCCACGGACACUUUGCUGACCGUGACCACGUGUACAUGCUGUUGGAAUACUGCAGCCGCCAGUCCUUGGCCCACGUGCUGGAAGCACGGCAGACACUGACAGAGCCUGAGGUACGCUACUACAUGCGGGGCCUGGUCAGUGGCCUUCGCUACCUGCACCAGCUGCGCAUCGUGCACCGGGACCUGAAGCUCAGUAACUUCUUCUUGAACAAAAACAUGGAGGUGAAGAUUGGGGACCUGGGCCUGGCUGCCAGGGUGGGGCCUGGGGGCCGCUGCCACAGAGUGCUCUGUGGGACCCCAAACUUCCUGGCCCCUGAGGUCGUCUCCAGAAAUGGGCACUCCUGCCAGUCGGACAUCUGGGCACUGGGCUGCAUCAUGUACAUGGUGCUGACUGGCGCCCCUCCCUUCGUGGCGGCUCCCCUGUCAGAGAUGUAUCAGAACAUCCGUGAUGGCCGUUACCCUGAGCCUGCCCACUUGUCACCCAAUGCCCGCCGCCUCAUCGCCCGCCUGCUGGCACCCAACCCGGCUGAGCGGCCCAGCCUGGACCACCUGCUGCAGGACGACUUCUUCACGCAGGGUUUCACUCCAGACCGGCUGCCACCCCACUCCUGCCACAGCCCGCCCAUCUUCGCCAUCCCCCAGCCUCUGGGCAGGCUUUUCCGGAAGGUGGGCCAGCUGCUGCUGAACCAGUGCCGGCCACCCUGCCCCUUCACUCCUGAUGAGGCAUCAGGUCCAGGAGAAGAUGGUUCGGAGCCUGACUCCAUGGGGUGCAGUGGGACCUCCGUGUCGGAGAGAGAGGCUCCCUGUCCCGAGGUCCCCAUCAACCUGCUCACCCAAGUGAACCUCCGGAGUGACCCAGCUGGGCCUGAGGGGAGCCUGAGGCAGGAGGUAGAGGUGGCCAUCAGAAAGCUACAGCUCUGCCUGAAACCUGGACCCCCAGCUACACAGGAGCCCCGGGGAGAGCAGCAGCCCAUCCUCUCAGCUCCCAAGUGGGUGGAUUAUUCCAGCAAGUACGGCUUUGGCUACCAGCUGUCGGACGGGGGCAGUGGUGUCCUGCUUCAGGACGGCACCCACAUGGCCCUGCGCCCCCCAGGGGGGAAUGAUGCAGGGGACCAGCAGGGAGGUGGCUGGACUAGUCAGCUGGGCAAUGGUGGUGACUUGAACUGGGAUGGUGGCCAAGGAGAGAUGCAAGGGGCCUGGAAUCUGGACUGAGUUUGCAGGCGAGAAGGAUGGAGCAGCCACAGGGCAGAAUGGGAAGAUGGCAGAAAGAGGGGUUUGGGGGCCGAUCUAGGAGGGGGCCCUGCCCAUGCCCACCCCGCUUGCCAGCCCCAGCCUAUGCCUGUUGCGCUGCCUGGUGUCCCAGUGAGCCUUGCUGCUGCUCUUCAGUGACGGGACACUGCAGG